rnacentral:rRNA from 1 species
GAUGAACGCUGGCGGCGUGCCUAAUACAUGCAAGUCGAGCGGUAAGGCUUUCACAGAUUAUUUGAACAGAUAAGUCCUUUAUGGAUACUGUUUGAAAAUGCAACUACUGGCUAGUAGAAGCAGUCGAAUAAUGUGUGAAAGUACACGAGCGGCGGACGGCUGAGUAACGCGUAGGAACGUACCCCAAAGUGAGGGAUAAGCACCGGAAACGGUGUCUAAUACCGCAUGUGAUCUAAGGAUUAAAGCCUUCGGGCGCUUUGGGAGCGGCCUGCGUAUGAUUAGUUGUUGGUGAGGUAAUGGCUCACCAAGACUACGAUCAUUAGCUGGUCUGAGAGGAUGAUCAGCCAGACUGGGACUGAGACACGGCCCAGACCUCCUACGGGAGGCAGCAGUAAGGGAAUUUUAGGCAAUGGAACGAAAGUCUGACCUAGCGACGCCGCGUGAGGGAAGAAGGCCGUUCGGGUUGUAACCUCUGUCAGUGGGGAAGAAGGUAAGUGAACC